AACGAACGCUGGCGGCAGGCUUAACACAUGCAAGUCGAGCGCCCCGCAAGGGGAGCGGCAGCCGGGUGAGUAACGCGUGGGAACGUACCUUUUGGUUCGGAACAACUCCGGGAAACUGGAGCUAAUACCGGAUAAGCCAUAACGGGGAAAGAUUUAUCGCCGAAAGAUCGGCCCGCGUCUGAUUAGCUAGUUGGUGAGGUAACGGCUCGCCAAGGCGACGAUCAGUAGCUGGUCUGAGAGGAUGAUCAGCCACACUGGGACUGAGACACGGCCCAGACUCCUACGGGAGGCAGCAGUGGGGAAUAUUGGACAAUGGGCGCAAGCCUGAUCCAGCCAUGCCGCGUGAGUGAUGAAGGCCUUAGGGUUGUAAAGCUCUUUUGUCCGGGAAGAUAAUGACUGUACCGGAAGAAUAAGCCCCGGCUAACUUCGUG
rnacentral:rRNA from 1 species